rnacentral:rRNA from 1 species
AUGGCCAGAAAGAGGAGGGAACUGGAUUCCGACAAGCCUCUCCCGGCGGAGCUUCCUGAAGCCCCGAGCAGAGAGGUUGAUGGGAGUAACUCCACUUCGCUUGGUGUGCAGCACCCUCCCGCCGAACUACCAGUUCAUGCGGUUGAGAUAUGUGCUCCCACGAACGAGGAGGUGCCGUUGAUCCUUGUUGUUGAGCCCCAGGCUCCAACUUGGGCACGACACAUAGUCCAUUACCUUCAAACAGGAGAACUUCUCGAAGAGCAAGAAGAAGCUGAAAGAGUAGCCCGAAGGGCUAGUACGUAUCAGUUUGUCGAGAACACACUGUACAGAAGGAGGCCCAACAGUGUGAAAUUGAAGUGCAUUUGCCAGGAAGAGGGGAAGGAACUGUUGGCAGAAAUACACAAAGGCAUGUGCGGCUCUCAUAUUGGAUCAAGAGCCUUGGUUGGAAAAGCUUUCCGACAAGGUUUCUAUUAG